AACGCUGAGAACGUUCAAGUGUUCUUCCUUGACUUGAUGACGUGUUCAGCUUUGUUUGAUGAAAUAUGAUGGGGUUCCAGACAUUGAUCUUGAUCCAGGAUUCAUAUGGGUAGCGGUUUCAGUUGCUGGUUCUGCUUAUUUAUUUCAUAAGGGGGAUCUGUGCACAAGUUCAACACGCUAAUACCCAGGAAAUGAUAAAUUUUGGAGGACACACCGGUGACCUUGUUAUUAGUAUUAAUCUGAUUUCUUAUGUGUCUGGGCUAACAAUCUGUGAACUUGAGCGCAUUUGGUUGAAAAAAAAAAAUCAGAAUAAAAAAUAAAAGAAAUUGAACAAUGGCCUUUUGCAAGACUAAAGAUAAAGAUGCUCUCAUGUUUGGUCAGAACAAAAUUGGAGGGCGAUUUCAUAUUAGAUCUGUCAAAGGAUGUGACAGCUUCUUAACUGUUUUAAGAGGAGCAGCUUAGGCAUUGGAAAAACCGUAUGGCAUUAGAUGUUUUUUGCUCUGUGUAUUAUAAUUACUCAGUUAUUCAUGAGACUAGGUUAGUCUGUGUCUCGUCUUCAGCAUCACACGUCAGAGGAAGAAGAUAAAAGCUGAAGAAGAAAGCAGAAGAGGCAAUAGUUCAUUUAUAUCAACUGUCGAGAAUGUCCAUCUGAUUCACCUAUGAAGCAUUGCAAUUAGCCACUCUCAGGUGAUUUCUAGUUAGGGUUCGGGUCACAGGAAAAUUGAAGUAAAACGGCUGGAUUCUUUUAGGCCUCGGGAAGAAUGAAUUCCUGGCCGAGGUCUAGACUAUAGGAAGUGUAGGCGCAGAAACAUUGCAUAGCCUUUUAGUGCACGACACUCAUGUGCAUUUGAUCCUUAAACAACAAAUAUUAACCUAAAAACUUUUUCCUUUUUUCUUUUUGGUGUGGGGGGACGGUCUGGCUCUGCUAAUGCCAAUGGCGGGCACCGUCGACCUGGAAUAUAACACCAGCAGGAACAAUGGCUGCAACAAGAAGAGAGUAGAGCUGUGGGGGACUGGCCUACAGCCACAUUACUUUCAUCAAUCCUUUCAGGCCCAGUCAAGCUUCCCUUUUACCUUCGCACUAGAGGGAACUUUUACACACCUCUGUUACUUUUUGAGAGGCCUACACCGAUAGAAAUGUCUACUUGAAGCUGAUCCUUGACCCAUAAAUUCUAACACGAGAUUAGAAUUCUAACUCUUCUAUUUGUUUAUUAAUAUUAAUCUACAUUAGAGAAAAAUAUGUCAUUGGAAGCUAAAUAAACAGAGCCAAUUGUUUACGUGUUUAUCCGGAAGGGCAAGUUCACUGGAACCAGCUAUGGCAGCCCAGAAGGAGUUUGAGUCGUUUUCUAAAAGCUUUUAUAAAAGAGGUUCAGAGAUAGAAAUGUAUGAAGCAGGCAAGGGUGAGUUUGAGGUACAUGAUAGAGUUUGGUUAGGGGCCUACUUCUAAGGAUUUGUUGAUUUCUGCUCAGUUCCUUCAUAAGGAAUUGCCUGUCUUUAAAUCCUCUGUUUCUAAAGGUGCUUUCUUUUUCUUAUCUUUUUGCACUAAUGGGUUAUGAUCUAACUAUGAUUAGUUAUCUAUUAUUAUUUUUUUAAUCA